CCUACGGGGGGCUGCAGUGGGGAAUAUUGGACAAUGGGCGCAAGCCUGAUCCAGCAAUGCCGCGUGUGUGAAGAAGGCCUGCGGGUUGUAAAGCACUUUGAGUGGGGAAGAAGGCCUGGGGGUUAAUAGCUUCUGGGAUUGACGUUACCCACAGAACAAUCACCUGCUAACUCCGUGCCCGCAGCCGCGGUAAUACGGAGGGUGCGAGCGUUAAUCGGAAGUGCGUAGCGUAAAGCGCGAGUAGGCGGUGAAAGCCCUGGGCUUAACCUGGGAACUGCAUUGGAUACUGUUUGACUGGAGUGUGGUAGAGGGGUGUGGAAUUUCCGGUGUAGCAGUGAAAUGCGUAGAGAUCGGAAGGAACACCAGUGGCGAAGGCGGCACCCUGGACCGACACUGACGCUGAGGUGCGAAAGCGUGGGGAGCAAACAGGAUUAGAUACCCUAGUAGUC
rnacentral:rRNA from 1 species